AGAGAUAUUACAAAAUGUUGGUGUACUGAUGAUGAUGCCUUAUGUUAAAUAAGGAAGAACUUGUUGACUAUUCAAUUAUAUCAUUAGAAGUGAAAACGAAUAAAAAAUGCAAUCAAGCAAGAUGUCAUAAAAAAAACAACAACAAAAGUUUGUAUUACUUGCAAUAGCUUACACUGCUACGGGUACUCGAAAGUAUUAUCAAUACAUCAUAUAUGUUUAAUGUAUAUACUUCAACUGUAAUUUAUGUUGGACAUAUGUUUAAAACAUUGCAUCUGUAUUUAUGUUUAUAGAUACAUUUAUUUAAGGAGCAAAAUCAUUUGCUUAUAAUGAUUUAUCCAAAAAAGCUUUUACUUCCUGUAAUACUUGUGUAAAAGUAAGUUUCAAAUAUUUAAAAUAUUAAAUGAAUAAUGUAAUUAAUUUGAUAUGUAGUUAUUAAUACUUAUACAUUUUUAAAUUAAUAAAUAAAAGUGUAUAAUUAUAAUAAUAUGAUAAACGUUUUUCUUUUGUAUAAAAUUAUAUUAAGAUAUUUAACUAUCACUUAAUUUAAUAUUUUAAAUAAUUUUGAUUUUAAAAAAUUUAUCACAGAUGUUAUUCCUUAGUGUGAAAAUGAAAUUAAUUAAAUAAUUGUAUUAUCAGUUAUCUCAGUACCUCCAUUGUUCAUUAAUGAGUGUACUGAAUUUUUAGUAUUAUUUGAUGUGUAAUUAGUAUUAAAUUUAAUUGUUUUCCAAAUCGCCUCUAUUAUUAUAUAUUUUAUUUUGAUAACAGAUAAUUUUAGAUUUCUUUAUCAAAAUAUUAUGUAAAUUUUGUAUUUGUUGUAUUUUGAAUUUUGAUUUUUUGAGCAUACAUUUUUUUCUGUGUCUGAUAAGAACAAUAAUUCCUUUAAUUGUCUAUGGUUCUAAUUUAUGUUGUUACAGUUGAAUUUUCUAGACAAUUUUUUUAGUCGACUUAUUUAUACAUAAAUCAAUUGAGUUUUUAGAAUUCGUAACAUCAUUAUAACCUAAUAUAACAUUCUAAUGUUUACUAUUAAUAUUUAGAUUUAAUUUAUCAAAAUCAAUAAUAGGUAAAAGAUUGAUAACCAUACAGGUGAUACAGGUUGUGUGUUUUUUCUCCUUUGUUGUAUAACUAUUUGAUUAUAGUACUCUACAUGAAAACUAGUCAUAAACACACACCACCUUUUUGCUGAGCUUUAUCCUCAUAUUUUUAUUUGUAUUUGGCAUGUAUAUAUAUUUUUAUAUUAUCGAAUAUCUAAACAAAUGUUCUAAUUUUCGAUUUGUUUUUAAAUGUUAUGAUAUAUUUUAGAUAUAAUUAUAUUUUUUUAAAUAUUUAUCUAUUAUAGACAGAUCAUCAAUGCCAUGCAAUGUAUCAGCCGAUAUUCUCAAAAGUUUUUGUCACUGGACUGCUCACUGAAUGGAUACCCAAUAGAUAACAGAAAAUAUGUGAAUCAAAGUUUCAAUGAG